GACGAACGCUGGCGGCGUGCUUAACACAUGCAAGUCGAACGGAAAGGCCCAGCUUGCUGGGUGCUCGAGUGGCGAACGGGUGAGUAACACGUGGGUGAUCUGCCCCUAACUUCGGGAUAAGCUUGGGAAACUGGGUCUAAUACCGGAUAGGACAAUCGUUUAGUGUCGGUUGUGGAAAGUUUUUUCGGUUAGGGAUGAGCCCGCGGCCUAUCAGCUUGUUGGUGGGGUAAUGGCCUACCAAGGCGUCGACGGGUAGCCGGCCUGAGAGGGUGGACGGCCACAUUGGGACUGAGAUACGGCCCAGACUCCUACGGGAGGCAGCAGUGGGGAAUAUUGCACAAUGGGCGCAAGCCUGAUGCAGCGACGCCGCGUGGGGGACGACGGCCUUCGGGUUGUAAACCUCUUUCGACAGGGACGAAGCUUUGGUGACGGUACCUGUAUAAGAAGCACCGGCUAACUACGUG
rnacentral:rRNA from 1 species